UUCAUUUUGCUUAUUUCUGUUAAAAAAUUAGCUAUAAGUAGAAAUUCUAAAUGUUUCUUCCUGCAUCCCCAGUGCAAUGGCUUCUACAACCCAAUCUGGAGAGCCCCGAAAAGGUCACAGGCAGAAGCUCGCAGGCCCUUCGCGUGUCUGAGACUCACACCUCCUGGCGUCCUGCCUCCACUUUACCCUCCAGGGACGCUGCGUCUGGGAUGACGUGGCUCCGGAAACCAGCUGCAGGGAGAGGGCCUGUUCUCCCCUCCCUCACCUCUGCGUCACUUCCCCUCUCAGAGGCAGGACGGGCCGCCAUGAACCAGGUUAACCACUUCUUGGCCCCUGUGGCUACGGUGCUGGCAUGUGACCUCCAUUCCCCAAUCUGAGGUGCUUCCACAAGCCUGGAGAGGAAAACGAGGACAUUUGAAGCAACCUCUGUGUGGGGGGAGGUUGGUCAUCUUGGCGGAUGUGGAGUGGAAGCCUCUGGACCCCCUGCAAUGAGGUCUCGAGGCAUGCGUGAGGGCUUUUGUUGUUAACCUUGGCCGGGAUGGCCAUUACGUUGGCUUAGGUAAGCUGCUCGGUAGCCGGCAAGUAGCUGCAGCUUACACCGGAGUCAGCAGACUUUCCUGUAAGGGGCCAGAUGGUAUUCUUGGCUUUGCAGGACACAGGGUCUCUAUUGUAUAUUCUUUGUUAUUUGUUUUUUAUAACUCUUUAAAGAUGUAGAAGUCAUUCUUAGCUCAAAGGCCAGAGGAUCUUACAGGCUAUGGUUUGCCAACACCUGGUCUGGGGCCACGUCAGGCCAACAAGAAAAUGCCGGUGGCUAAGGCAGAAUUCAGUUUGGACUCCCUAGUCGGCCGACAUCGGGCAAGGCUGCCACCCAGGCAGUCCAGCAGAAAGAAGGGUGACCCAAGAAUUGCCAGGGGCCUGAAUCCUUAAUUUUCAAAAUAAGUCUGCAAUUCUCUGCUCCCUUCGGCCUCAGUCUAAUGACAAGAUGAAGCUGCUCUGGAAACACCCAGACUCGCUGACCAAAACUCCUGCCCAAGGUGUGUGGACUGGGACAUGAGAAAGGUUGUCAGAAAUAGUCAGAAAUGUAUUCUGAGUGGAUUUUUGUGGACCUGACAGUCGAUAAUACCAGAUGCAUGUGGAGAGUAGGGAAAAUAUAAAGUCCCUAAACGUCAGUCUGUCUUCCAGGGCUGGCGUUGGGGCUGGGUGGCGGCCGCAGCCCAGUGGAUACGAGCAGCCUUUAACUUUGCUCCAACAGCGAACUAGGCAAUCGUUUAGGGGAACCUUUGUAAAUGGAGGCCCCCUGGAGCCGGUGGCGGGGACAGUUCCUUCUGGUUGGCUCCUGCCUCUUUCAAUUCCAAAACGGAUUAACACAAGGACCAGGGUAGCUCUGCUCUCGAAUCUUCCAUUUACAUUUAACCAUUUCAGACCUUACUGGUUGUCAAGUUCAGGUUGACGGACCCUAAAAUGAAGAUGUAAGGAUAGAGAUUUUAGAGACCUCCACGUGUGGAGCCUCCUCUAUCUGAGAGCUGAAGAGGAAAUCAACAGCUGCCUUUCCGCAAAAGCGGCGUUCGCGGCGGUUGUGUCGGCAGGUGGCGCUGUGGUACUGGGAACUGGCCUCCCUGGGUCCUGCGGCGGCCGUGAAGUCAGAAAAAGGGAUUCUUCUUUCUCCUUUUGGGAACCUGUUGUUUCUUUACGCGGUUCUAGAGAGAACCACGCAUGCUCCAGUCUCUGGAUGAGAGAAUCCCCUGACACUUGGAGGACAUUCACAGUAUGGACACACGAAAUAUCAAUUAUACACUUAAUAGAAGAAGCCAAAACAGCACAUCGCAUUAGCCCAAAGGCCCCACCAAACAGGGUCACUUGGACUUCCUUCCCCCACUGUGUGCUACAUCAGUGGUCAGCUGUGCGCUUUCCUUCUGGGGAACAUGGACCUAGAAGUCUAACAUCCUUGAGUCGUGAAGCAUCAGCUUCAGCAAAAUUUUCCACCUGCGACGCAUGUAAGGGCCGUGAAGGCUGGUCCAUGCUGGACCUUCUUUAUAGUUAGAAGCUUCGGGACCAACCAUGUGUUUUUCCUAAACUAUGAAACGUCUGUUUGAGCCCAGGCAGUCCUCAGAUGGUGACUUGGGUAGCAGGGCCUUCAUCUUCAUCUUCCCUCAAGGCCCACCCAUUCCUAGCUGAUUAGACAGAGGCCAUUACUGACACAUCAUUCCUUCCAGAGAUGUACAAAUGGCGGACGAAGCACAGGAAAAGCAGCUCAGUGUCUUCAGUCAUUAGGGAAAUGUAAAUCAAGCCCAAAAUGACACACCACUUCACACCCACCAGGAUACUGAUAACCAAAGAGAAUGCAAAGUAACAAGUUUUGUGGAGGAUUUGAGGAAACUGGAAACUCCUGCGUCACUGGUGGGAACAUGAAAUGUUGCACUCGCUGUGAAAAUCAGCUUGGCAGCUCCUCAAUUUCCACUCUAGGUCUAGACGCAAAAGAACUGAAAACAAGUGUUCAAACAAAAACUUGUACGUGAACGUUUACAGCAGCAUUAUUCGCAAUUGCCAGAAAGUAGAAGCCACCCAAACAUCCAUUAACAGAUAAAUGGAUAAAAUAAAAGUGAUGUAUCCAUACUAAGGGUAGUGUUCAGUCCUAGGCAAGAGGGAAGUUCUCAUACAACAUGGAUAAAUCUUAAAAACAUUCUGUUACGUGAAAGAAGUCAAACACAAGGGACCACACGUGAUGAUUCGAUCUAUAUGAAAUACCCAGAAAAGGCAAAUCCAGAGAGCUAGAGAACAGAAUGGUGGUCCAGGCCAGUGUUGAGGGGAGAGAAGCAGCAGCAAUGAGUGCUUAGUGGGUACAAGGUUCCCAUGUGGAACCUGGUGGUCAUCACGGAUCAACUUUGUGAAAGUACCAAAUGCUACGGACUCCCAUGCUUCUAACAGAUUAAAAUGGUGAAUUUUAUAUCCUGUAUAUUUUACCAUGAUUUAAAAAAAAUACAAAUUGGAAACAAUGAAAUAAAAUUGCCUCUACUUAUGGACAGCA